GUUAGCAAGUGCCUUCUCAAGUGCGCACUUUCCUUCCCCAGAAAAACAAGUUAUUUUCCAAAAAAGAGAAGCUGCGUUUAUCUGACUUUCGGUAGAGAAACUCUCCACUUCUUGAUGAUUAUCCUUUUUUAUGGGAUACUUAACGUUGAGGACAAAUUGUGGUAACUUUCUCCAAACAGGAUGUGUCACGUUAAAGAUUUAGAAGAAGAGGAGACGUUUCACAGAGGAAGACAUGGACCUGGAACAACUUUGUUAAAAUGUGUUGCUGACACCAAUUCACUUGUUUUUUUAAAAGGGUACAUUUUUUUUAAACAUUUGAGAAGUUUACUGCAUUGUGAAUAGAAUGAGACUUAUCAAUGAAUUAGUUUUUUUUUAAAGAUUUGUGAUUUUACAAAUGAAACGCUUGCUUGACAUAAUUUUCUUAUGGGUUAGUUUUAAAAAGCCUUUUUUUUUUUAGCCAGUGGGCAGUCACGAUAAGAGUAGGCAUGAUAAUAUGUAAAUUCCUCCACAGGAAAGAACUUGAUGUUCUGUACAAUUAGGUGGAAAUAUAUGUGCAUAUAUUGGCAUCUGCAUCAGCGGCUGGAUGAACUGAGCAGGAAAACAGUGGCAUAUCGAGGAUCAGCUCACAAAAAAUCUAAUUUUACACAUUCUAAUUUCUGACAUGUUUAACCUCAGCUAACAAGUUUUUUUUUUAGUUCAUGUGAACAGUUGUUAACACCCACCAUGAUGCUCCUAGACAGGUGUGUUCAUCACAACAUAAAGGUUUUAGGAAUAAUUAGAGUUUGUAGAAGUAGCCCACAUUUUGUGUUGAUGGUAUCAUAUUGUGAAAAGCAGAGGGAAGUGGGGCCUGGUGGUAUUUUCUACGCGCGCGCGUGUGUGUGUGUGUGUACUUGUUUUGCCUACAGAGUGAGGAUCAUGCUAGGUUUUUAAUUAACAAAGUGAGGAUGUUUUUUCCGGUCCUCACUUUGUUUGCAGCUCUACUGUACGUUACUAGUUAGGUUUAGAGGUAUGGUGUGAA